GAUGAACGCUGGCGGCGUGCUUAACACAUGCAAGUCGAACGAAGCACCUUGAUUUGCUUCUUCGGAUGAAGAUCUUGGUGACUGAGUGGCGGACGGGUGAGUAACGCGUGGGUAACCUGCCUCAUACAGGGGGAUAACAGUUAGAAAUGACUGCUAAUACCGCAUACGACCACAGCACCGCAUGGUGCAGGGGUAAAAACUCCGGUGGUAUGAGAUGGACCCGCGUCUGAUUAGGUAGUUGGUGGGGUAACGGCCUACCAAGCCGACGAUCAGUAGCCGACCUGAGAGGGUGACCGGCCACAGUGGGACUGAGACACGGCCCAAACUCCUACGGGAGGCAGCAGUGGGGAAUAUUGUACAAUGGGGGAAACCCUGAUGCAGCGACGCCGCGUGAGCGAUGAAGUAUUUCGGUAUGUAAAGCUCUAUCAGCAGGGAAGAAAAUGACGGUACCUGACUAAGAAGCACCGGCUAAAUACGUG
rnacentral:rRNA from 1 species